GUUUUCAGUGCUUAAUAAAGCAUUCUUAUGCAAUGACAAUGAGUGUCAGACAAAUACUUUGCAAUCAGGCAGCACUCCAAAUCUGCUCCUAUGUUCACACUGGAUAUUGCUGAUAAUUAUCCUCUUCCCAAUCAUAUUAUCAUAGAAAACAUAACUGGAAGGGACACUGAGAUGGCUUCAUCCACUGCAUUCUCCUACCCCCAGCUGGAUCAACUACACCUAAAGUUUUUAACCAAGAGGCACCGACAUCUGGAAGUGAAUCCUAAGAUACAGUUAGAGAAUCAACAGGCUGAGAAGAUUCUGGUACUCCCUUCUUCCACUGAAGUCCCUGGGCUUAGGUCAGUAUUUGUACCUUUCAUGUGGGUGAAGUGAAAGUUCACAUGCUCUGCAAGAGAUGUCAGACCAGUCUGCCUUGGUUCCCUGCUGAUGAUUUGGGCUGGGACAGAGCUGGUUUUCUUCACUGAACCCUGUAUGGGGCUGGUUUGGAUUUGUGUUGGAAUCAGUGCUGAUAGAUCAGGGAUGUUUUUGCUUUUGUUGAGCAAGGCUUAAACACAGUCAAACCUUUUGUGUUCCUCACCCCACAAGUGAGAAGGCCAGGGGUGCACAGGGAGUUAGGAGGGGAUACAGCCAAGACAGCUCACCCCAAGUGACCCCAGAGAUACCUCAGACCAUAUGGGGUCAUGACUGGCAUGUAAAACUCGGGGAAGGAAGGGGGGCACAUUUUGAGUGAUGGUGUUUGUCUUCCCACGUCACUGUUAACAUUUGGCAGAGCCCUGCUGGCCUGGGGAUGGCUGAAUACCCAUCUGCCCAUGGGAAGUGAAGAACGAAUUCCUUGUUUGCUUUACCUGUGUGCACCAUUUUUGCUUUACCAAUUGAAC
rnacentral:lncRNA from 12 species